CUAAAAAAUCCCCUCUACGCCGCCCGGCGCAUGACCGCCCGAUUCGGCGCCUCCCGCUGGAGACCGCCCGCCUCCGACGAGGGCCACGCCAGUGAUCUCCCCUCAGCCCGCCUGCCCCCUCCUUUCAUCUCCGUUCUACUCCUUCUCUCUCGGCCCCAUCGAGCUCGCCUCGAUCCAUGGCCCCUCCUUAAACCUAGCUCCGGUCUCGGCCACGACCGGCCUCACAGAUCUCGGCCGCCAUCCCCUACGCCUCCCCCCGCGUCUCCCUCACCUCGCUCGUGCAGCACCAUGGCUGCACGUCGCCUGCGCCAUCUGCUGCAGCCCCGCUCUAAACCACUUGCAUGCCAUGGGCAGCGGCCAUGGAGGACACACCUCCGCCUGCUCACUCGCCGCUGGCCAGCCAGUACCUCCACCAACAUCUCAUCCAUCUAGAUCAGUGGCCCUUUAAUUUUAGCGGAUUUUCUUCUUCUUUACAGCAUGCUAAUUAGCUAGGAUAUAGUCUUGAUUUCAAUUAUUGCAGAAUGGCAAUCUGCUUUAUGUUGGUUUUAUCAUCUCAGGAUAAUCCAGAUGUUCUCAUAUGCCUUGAGGAGUUGUCGGUGGAUUAUAUGCAGAGGCUACCAAGUGGUAGCUCCAAUGUUGCAAGAGGUCAGUAAUGGGUGCUUCUUCUGGGAUGGCUCACCUGAGAUACCAACGCUGAAGGAUCUGAAUUUUCAAGCUCAGCAAGGCCUGCAUGUUGCAGUCUGUGGGACGGCCGGCUCUGGAAAAUCAAGUUUGCUCUCUUGAAUGGUAUGGUUCCAAAGCUAUUAGGAGAGGCCAAGACUUGCAGAACAAUGCCAUAUGUCAGCCAGACUGCAUGGAUACAAAGCGACAAAAUUCAGGACAACAUACUGCUCGGCAAGACGAUGGAGAGGGAGAAGUAUGGAAGGGUCCUUGAGUGGUGUUCGCUAAAGAAAGACUUGGAGAUCAGAAAUCAUUGGAGAGUGAGUCUGCACUCUUAGUGCCUGGCAGAAGCAAAGGACUCGGAUAGCUCGAGCAUUGUAUCAGUAUGCUGACAUCUAUUUAUUCCAUGAUCCGUUCAACGCAGUUGACAUACAGGAUCCCAAUUUUUCAAGAUCGAUGGUUUCGUCGUGGUCGGCAGGAGAAAUAUCAUCAAUGGUACGGAAAAAGGCAGGUAGGCUGAGGCGGGCGCCCACACCGAGCAGCCGAUCCAGGAAACCAGCCCUGCGGCACCCCCUCGUGCCAGUCCCCAUCUCUAUGUUUGUGUUAGGCCUAGUGCAAGGUAUUGGUAGAAGAGAAGGCCGGAAAGAGAAGCUGCAUGGUAGGAGGCUUUUGAUCUGAAGGCAAGUUGGAUGAUCUGCUGACAAAGAAACACCUCUAUUCUGAAUUUCUACUUGAAACAAUUGAUCAGAUCACAAAUGUACCUUGGUUAUGUCUCUCACUGUGUGCUGAACAAUGUUUUGCCUAUUUUCAUCUUGGUUGCUGACAUUGUUGGUGUUAUCUAUCAAAGAAAGUUGUUGAAGUGAAAGAUGAAGAUGAACCCGUAGAAGAGCUGAAAAAAGGACGUGGUAGAAAGAAGGAAGCGAAGCCUAAACAGUAUAAUGAUUACUGCCUCGCCCAGCCGUGCAUCCAAGAUGCGACGCUUGCUGGAAAGCUGGUCAAGUAGGCCCUCGACUGCGAGUUUUAGCUGAUUGAUCCUGCACAUCAGCCUAACUGCUACAAUAAAUGGACUUACAACAGUGAUUCUUUCUAUAUUGAAUUUCUAUAUUCGACCUCACCAUUGCUUAGUUUCCUUUCCUGAUGUCAAGA